rnacentral:lncRNA from 1 species
CCGUCCAGGACCGGGGGCGAGCCCGAGGUCUCUCCUGGCUUCCUGCACGAGCUUUGAAAACCGAGGUGGAAGCAGCCAGGCCACGGAGCGCUGAGGGGGAGCAGGAGCGGCAGGCGGAGGCGACCGGCACGGCCACCGACUUGGGUGAGGAAGUGCCUCUCUUGCGCCCGCGCGUAAUUCCACCCCACGGAGCCAGCAGGGUUCCAGCCCUCGCAUCCGCGUCCCCUUGGCUGACCGACGCCUCCCUUCUGCUGCCAGCGCCGGGCCGUGGACCUGCCCUCG